AAUACGUCUCGCGCUCAGAGAGCAGCAGCGGGAAAUUCCGGCCACAACAGCAGAGAAGAGGACGCUAAGAGACAAUGGCUUUACAAAAAGGGCUGCAUACUCGGCCAGAUAGGCCAUUUGCACGACCCCCACCGCUGCACAUUACAGUCCUGGCCAUGAUGGACCAAGCCAAGGUGUUGUCCUGGGUGUUUGAGGAGAGCGGAGAGGCGAGGCCUGCCGUUAAAAAAUAAAAAUAAAAUUGCAAUAAUCAGCGAUGGAGAAUCCCUAGCCAAAGUAACGUUAUACGAGGCAUUUGGAAACAAACUGACCCUAAACCAGGGCUUCAUAAUGCACCCGUUGUGCGGGGAUACUCCCUGAGAGGCCGGUCCCCACCAUACGGAAUUAAUGUCACCAAAGAAACACAGUUCUUUAAAUCGGGCCCACUGGAUGUAUCAGAUGAGCUGAGGCAGCAGGCAGAUACGCUCCUUCGACUUAUCUCCACCCCCACCCCCUUGUCAGCCAAGAGCUCUGGGCUACUACUCACUGUGGAAGGGCAGGUGGUGGAACUUUUGCCACUUAAACGGAUAACGGUGGGGAAAGAUGAAGUGCCCCUCCGGACCCUAACUUUAGAGCAGGGUUCUGCACACUCUAAGAUAAAGCAGCUUGCCGGAGGGUCUUCUUCUUGGGAACUAUGGAGUAAAAGCCAAAGAAAAAAAAA